GUCAGAGACCACCAGAGCUGCCUCAGGAUGUGCUGCCGGGGAGGGCGGAGCCGGCCACGCCCAUUGAAGCCCAGCUCUCCGCCCUCCUGGGUGACCUCCAGUGACCUCGCCCUGGGCGAGCUCCACCCCUACGAGGAUGUCGCCCAAUGGGGAGCGUACGAGGAGGUGGCCUUCUGGGAGCCUCCAAUCACCAAUCAGGGGGAGCUGGUUUGAAGAGGGCGGGGCCAGACCACACCCAUCAGAGGUUACGCCCCCUAAUAAAGCUGAAG